rnacentral:rRNA from 1 species
UACGUAGGGUGCGAGCGUUAAUCGGAAUUACUGGGCGUAAAGGGUGCGCAGGCGGCUUGCUAAGACAGGUGUGAAAGCCCCGAGCUUAACUUGGGAAUGGCGCUUGUGACUGGCAGGCUGGAGUGUGGCAGAGGGAGGUGGAAUUCCACGUGUAGCAGUGAAAUGCGUAGAGAUGUGGAGGAACACCUAUUGCGAAGGCAGCUCGCUGGGACGUAACUGACGCUGAGACGCGAAAGCGUGGGGAGCAAACAGG